UACAGAGGGUGCGAGCGUUGUCCGGAAUCACUGGGCGUAAAGGGCGCGUAGGCGGCUUGAUAAGGUUGCGGUGAAAGCCCGGGGCUCAACCCCGGGUCGGCCGUGGCAACUGUCGAGCUGGAGCAUUGUAGAGGCAGGUGGAAUUCCGGGUGUAGCGGUGGAAUGCGUAGAGAUCCGGAAGAACACCGGUGGCGAAGGCGGCCUGCUGGGCAGUGGCUGACGCUGAGGCGCGACAGCGUGGGGAGCAAACAGG
rnacentral:rRNA from 1 species